rnacentral:rRNA from 1 species
AUUGAACGCUGGCGGCCGGCCUAACACAUGCAAGUCGAGCGGGGUUUUCGGACUUAGCGGCGGACGGGUGAGUAAUGCGUAGGAAGCUACCCGAUUGAGGGGGUUACCCGUUGGAAACGACUGUUAAUACCGCAUAAUGUCAACGGACCAAAGUGUGGGACCUUCGGGCCACAUGCCAUCGGAUGCGCCUACGUGGGGUUAGAUAGUUGGUGGGGUAAUGGCUCACCAAGGCGACGAUACCUCACUGGUUUGAGGGGAUGAUCAGCCACCACGGGAGAUGAGACACGGGCCACGCGCCGACUGGAGGCAGCAGUGGGGAAUAUUGGGCAGUGGGCGCAAGCGUGGUCCAGCCAUGCCGCAGGUGUGAAGAAGGCCUUAGGGUUGUAAAGCACUUUCAGUGGGGAGGAAGGUAAUUCACCUAAUACGUGAGGUAAUUGAUGUUACCCACAGAAGAAGCACCGGCUAACUACGUGCCAGCCGCCGCUGUAAUAC